GACGACCGAAAGCCGCGAUACUCGCUUCGCACAGAUGCUUCCACAUCUCUCUCGCGAGUGGGCUAAGGUCUGAGUUUGCUGCUCCCAACCCCUAGGAUCAUGCCUCCGAUCGACUCCAGCUGGGUCUGCCGUAAUCCGGCCAAGCAACGCACCAGAAAUACAGCCAGCCGGGGACGAUCGAUUGUUCUUCGCACCCGAAGACGUGUAUGCAGUAUUGCAAUAUGGGUCAUGAACGCAUCCUGCAUACUUCGCACUGAGGGAGACCCGGCUGUAGCUUUGGGACACGUUGCGGGAACUUGGGCCCGUGUUCAACCGAUGCGUCUUUCAUCCCCUUUCCUAUCGUGCAAACGGUGGUGCUUUCGGUGUGUGCGCCGGAUGGUUUUAGCCCCCCAGCAUUUCAUCCGAAUGACGUCCACGGUUCCAUCCCCCCAUUUGAUGAGGUCGCUUUCGUCCUAUGGUGGGGUACACUUGACCUGCAGACGAGGGAAUGCGGCGAAGCGCAAGGUUCACGGGUCCUUUAGUGCACUUCGUGGCGCUCGGGUGUCUAUUCAUCCGUGCAACUCGAUUCAGACUACUCUCAGUCGUC
rnacentral:RNase_P_RNA from 2 species